rnacentral:rRNA from 1 species
AGAGUUUGAUCCUGGCUCAGAGCGAACGCUGGCGGCAGGCCUAACACAUGCAAGUCGAACGAACUCUUCGGAGUUAGUGGCGGACGGGUGAGUAACACGUGGGAACGUGCCUUUAGGUUCGGAAUAGCUCCUGGAAACGGGUGGUAAUGCCGAAUGUGCCCUUCGGGGGAAAGAUUUAUCGCCUUUAGAGCGGCCCGCGUCUGAUUAGCUAGUUGGUGGGGUAAUGGCCCACCAAGGCUACGAUCAGUAGCUGGUCUGAGAGGAUGACCAGCCACAUUGGGACUGAGACACGGCCCAAACUCCUACGGGAGGCAGCAGUGGGGAAUCUUGCGCAAUGGGCGAAAGCCUGACGCAGCCAUGCCGCGUGUAUGAUGAAGGUCUUAGGAUUGUAAAAUACUUUCACCGGUGAAGAUAAUGACUGUAGCCGGAGAAGAAGCCCCGGCUAACUUCGUGCCAGCAGCCGCGGUAAUACGAAGGGGGCUAGCGUUGCUCGGAAUUACUGGGCGUAAAGGGAGCGUAGGCGGACAUUUAAGUCAGAGGUGAAAUCCCGGAGCUUAACUUCGGAACUGCCUUUGAUACUGGGUGUCUUGAGUGUGAGAGAGGUAUGUGGAACUCCGAGUGUAGAGGUGAAAUUCGUAGAUAUUCGGAAGAACACCAGUGGCGAAGGCGACAUACUGGCUCAUUACUGACGCUGAGGCUCGAAAGCGUGGGGAGCAAACAGGAUUAGAUACCCUGGUAGUCCAA